GUUUGUGUUCAUGCAUUUCUGUGAUUAUUUAUUUAGUUAGAAAAUAAAUUAUUGUGAUAAUUGGUGUAUGGAUGAUUAGAGGUAGAUGAGGUAGAUGGUAGUAGAGGAAGAUGGUAGUAGAGGUAGAUGGUAGUAGAGGUAGAUGGUAGUAGAGUAGAGGUAGAUGGUAGUAGAGGUAGAUGGUAGUAGAGGUAGAUGGUAGUAGGGUAGAGGUAGAUGGUAGUAGAGUAGAGGUAGAUGGUAGUAGAGGUAGAUUAUAGUAGAGUAGAGGUAGAUGGUAGUAGAUGGUAGUAGAGUAGAGUUAGAUGGUAGUAGAGUAGAGGUAGAUGGUAGUAGAGGUAGAUGGUAGUAGAGUAGAGGUAGAUGGUAGUAGAUGGUAGUAGAGUAGAGUUAGAUGGUAGUAGAGUAGAGGUAGAUGGUAGUAGAGGUAGAUGGUAGUAGAUGGUAGUAGAGGUAGAUGGUAGUAGAGGUAGAUGGUAGUAGAGGUAGAUGGUAAUAGAGGUAGAUGGUAGUAGAGGUAGAUGGUAAUAGAGUUAGAUGGUAGUAGAGGUAGA
rnacentral:lncRNA from 1 species